UACGUAGGGUGCAAGCGUUAAUCGGAAUUACUGGGCGUAAAGCGUGCGCAGGCGGUUAUAUAAGACAGAUGUGAAAUCCCCGGGCUCAACCUGGGAACUGCAUUUGUGACUGUAUAGCUAGAGUACGGCAGAGGGGGAUGGAAUUCCGCGUGUAGCAGUGAAAUGCGUAGAUAUGCGGAGGAACACCGAUGGCGAAGGCAAUCCCCUGUGCCUGUACUGACGCUCAUGCACGAAAGCGUGGGGAGCAAACAGG
rnacentral:rRNA from 1 species